rnacentral:rRNA from 1 species
CCUACGGGAGGCAGCAGUGGGGAAUAUUGGGCAAUGGGCGAAAGCCUGACCCAGCAACGCCGCGUGAAGGAAGAAGGCUUUCGGGUUGUAAACUUCUUUUGUCAGGGACGAAGCACGUGACGGUACCUGACGAAUAAGCCACGGCUAACUACGUGCCAGCAGCAGCGGUAAUACGUAGGCGGCAAGAGUUAUCCGGAUUUACUGGGUGUAAAGGGCGAGUAGGCGGGACUGCAAGUCAGAUGUGAAAACCACGGGCUCAACCUGUGGCCUGCAUUUGAAACUGUAGUUCUUGAGUACUGGAGAGGCAGACGGAAUUCCUGGUGUAGCGGGGAAAUGCGUAGAUAUUAGGAGGAACACCAGUUGCGAAGGCGGUCUACUGGACAGCAACUGACGCUGAGGCGCGAAAGCGUGGGUAGCAAACAGGAUUAGAUACCCUGGUAGUC